GCCUGGGUGGCUCAGUCGGUUAAGCGUCCAACUUCAGCUCGGGUCAUGAUCUCCUAGUUUGUGGGUUCAAGCCCCACAUUGGGCU
rnacentral:tRNA from 1 species